GACGAACGCUGGCGGCGUGCUUAACACAUGCAAGUCGAGCGGUAAGGCCCUUUCGGGGGUACGACGAGCGGCGAACGGGUGAGUAACACGUGGGUGACCUGCCCUUAGCUCUGGGAUAAGCCUGGGAAACUGGGUCUAAUACCGGAUAUGACCUCAUGACUCAUGUUGUGGGGUGGAAAGCCUUGUGCGGCUAGGGAUGGGCCCGCGGUCUAUCAGCUUGUUGGUGGGGUAAUUGCCUACCAAGGCGACGACGGGUAGCCGGCCUGAGAGGGCGACCGGCCACACUGGGACUGAGACACGGCCCAGACUCCUACGGGAGGCAGCAGUGGGGAAUCUUGCGCAAUGGGCGAAAGCCUGACGCAGCGACGCCGCGUGAGGGAUGACGGCCU
rnacentral:rRNA from 1 species